UCAGGUCUGUCGUAGGAGAUUUCCAGGGUCUUACAGGGUUCAUGGAUUUCUUUUCCUCUGAUAUUAUCUUAGUCUUCUAAUUCUCCCCCUCUUUAUUCUGAUUUAACUCCAUUAAGAGGAUUCUAUUUUAUUAUAUUUUAGUCUUUUAGCACCCCAAUUCAUUUUAAAAUAAUAGUAUAAAUGGAUGUACUUGUACAAUGUGCCAGUGAUUGUUCUAGGCACAACCAUCUGAGGAGGAAAUUGUUCAUAAUGAUACAAUCAAAAUCCAGUAUUAUUUAACUUUAAUAAUAAUAGUAAAAAUAUCUGACAUCUAUUGAAUUGUUACUAUGUUCCAGGCACCAUUCCAAGAACUCUGCUUGCAUUAUUUCCUUUAACUUCAAGACUCAGAUCAUCGGGUUGUAUCAGUCCUUGCCUUUCUUGAAUCCUGGCACGGCCGGCGGACUAUCACACCUUCCAGCGACCCCGACUCCUGGUCUUCGUCCUUUUGUGUGAUCCCCAUCCCUGCUGUGUGAGCUGGAUAAGACGACUAACUUUUAACCAACAGAACAUGGCGAACGUGCUUCCUGAUCAGGGUUCGUAAGGUUGUGAUUUGUCUUGUGGGCAGAUUGCUCUCUUGCCUUCUCGGCCUGUGCUCUCUGUGAAGCAAGCUGCCGGGUCCUGGAAAGAAGCCCACGUGGCAAGCAACUGGGCCACGUCCAGCCAGCACCCUGCUGGGUCCUCAGCUCAGGAGCCUGGAGGAGCCAAAUUCUGCCAACAGCCAUGUGAGCUUGAACGUGAACCCUUCUAGACGUUCAGCUGCAGACGAGACCUUCGAGGGACCCUGAAGCAGAGGAUCUAGUUGAGACAGGCUGGGCUUGGAAGUGGUAAGAGAACCAACGUGUGUUGUUUUAAAUCGCUAAGUCUGACGUUCUUUGUUACAUAGCAACAGACAGCUUUACACACUUGGAUUUCUAAAUCUGACGGACAGCAGAGUCACGUCAGAGUCUGAAUUAAAAAUCGGAUCCCCUGGCCUCCAGCUUAGAAUAUUCUGAUUCAGUAGGUCUGAGGUGGGAUCUACAAAUCUGGAUUUUUAACAGGGACCUCAAGAGAUCUGAUGUGAUCGGCUGAGCGACACUCUGGACCCGGCCUCGCACCCGCUCCACCUGCAUCCACUUACCUCAUGUUGACAAUCACUGGGAGGAGGCUCCCCCCCACCCCCCAGAGUUUCCUUCUUUUUCAUCGGAUCCUCAGGCUCACGUGCGGGUGGGAACUAGCAGCGUGCAGCCCAGGCUUCCGCGAAGCAGAGCAAAGGCUCCGCACUUUCCAGACUGACUGUGAAUGAGCUCUGGCUUUCUACAGCCCACGGAGCACGCGAGGCGGACACAUGCUGCCUGGAAACGUGCUUCCCGGGAGGAAGGCAUGAAGCACGGAGAUUCAUUUUGUUGAGAAGAUAAGGAAAAUAGACUGUUUUCUGGAGCUUGAUAUUAUAAAGACACCACCCGGAUAAUGCUUGCUCAACUUUUUAAGAUGACCACUAAAGCCUACAAGACUUAAUAUGAGAAACCUCAAGAACCCAUGAAAGGUAUUUACCUUUAAAGAAAAAUGACGGUAAAGCCUUCCUCUGUGCUGGUGCUCUUGCUGCUCAGAUGUGGCCUAAGGCUCCUACACAGGACCUGACAGAACCCAACCCUGAAGGAGCCACCUGACAAUGGAGAACCAAGGAUGCUUUUACCAACUGAUCAGUGUUUCUUUCAAAGGAAGAUCUUGAUCAAAAGAGGCAAAUGUAAACAUAAUAUAAACGGAGCCACUUUGAAAUGGAGCUGGAGUUGUCAUCCCAGAGGAACUGCCCUACACAUCUUAUGCCUUAAACAUUUGGGAUGUUGAAACAGGGAAAAAUGACCGUUUUGGACUGGGCCUAACGCAACAUUGCACCCCAAAGGACUGUUUGCAAGGAUAACAAGAAAGCAGUUCAUAUGACUACCAAAGAGGUAGUCAUAAUACACUAAAAGUUAAAAACAUUGUUUAGGAAGGUGGGGGGGGGGGGGUGUGUAAAGCUUAACCAAAGAACGUAUAUGCAUAUGUGCAUAAACGCAUGGACACAGACAAUAGUGUGGUGAAGGCCUGGGGGGCGGAGGAGAGGGUGAAGAGGGUUAUAAGGGGAGCAAAGGAGACAUCUGUAAUACUUUUAACAAUAAAGAUAAAUAAAAAAAUAAAAACACUAGAAUUAGCAUCACUAUAUUAUAUUAUCCUAUCUGAACCAAUAGAAAUGCCUUUCUUCUAUUGAUUUAACUAUUCCCCUUUCCUUGCUCAUCAAUACCCCUUGACUUUGUCUCCUAAUUGGAAACUAUUUGGUCUUCUGCCUGAAUCUGUGCUUCUUCAAUUCUUUAAAAUCUUAAAUAAAUGUUUGUUGCCUCUCA